GUGGGUUCAGUGAAGCAAUUACUCAAGCGUGUGCUGUAGAAUAAUUAAGAGUGCGACAUUUUGCGGUCUUUCGAGCGGAGAAAAAAUUAUUUCCCUUCAUCGAUUUUAAUUGACAAAAAAUCCAUCGAUCUCUGGUGCAAGAGAUUAAGAAGCUCUUACAUUUUUGCAAUUAUCUCGGUCAUGCGUGAUUUUGGGAGGAAAUGCCAAGUGAUGUUUUUUCCAGAGAAAGUAAUUCUCGAUAAAAAAAGUCUUAUGACUUAUUUUCGUAGAGUGUAUGUAGGUGAGCAUUUCGGCGAUUGAAAAGUGCAAUAAUUUUUUCUCAGUCGAGGGGAGAAUAUGAUGCUUAAUCCAACUCUAAUUGGCUCCGAAGGUGAUAAAUAACCGGAAGAAUUUAAAUAGCCAGUACAGAAAUAAUUCAAGGUCGUUGGAGCUACUCUGGUCAUGCGAAUGAGGAUCAUCUGGCCUGAAGUGUUUGUACUGUUCGACAUCCUUCUCGAGGGUCAGCUGUUGCUUCUGGAGGCGAUCCCUCAGGGCUGGUAAGG